rnacentral:rRNA from 1 species
UAGGGAAUCUUCCACAAUGGGCGCAAGCCUGAUGGAGCAACACCCGCGUGAGUGAAGAAGGGUUUCGGCUCGUAAAGCUCUGUUGUUAAAGAAGAACACGUAUGAGAGUAACUGUUCAUACGUUGACGGUAUUUAACCAGAAAGUCACGGCUAACUACGUGCCAA